AGAGAGCUUUGCCGCCAGCUCCGUGGGACAGGCUGCAACAUCAAGGCCCUUUAGGGCAGCAGAAAUGAAAGAUAUUAAAACUGUAAAAGAAAGCUUUAAAGGCCAAUGUGUGGGAGUAAUACAAAGGACACAAAGCAACACAAAUAAAAGCGUGGCUGCAAAGAGCUUUUUGUUGUACUGCAAAUAACGUAGAAAGCUAUGGGCAUGGGGAGAAGUGAUAUCAUGCUAUAUCUCUCAUUGAUAAACUGUUGAUAAAGGUGAUAAGUACUGUCAUAUGAAUCUUAUUUCUUCCAGUAUUUGAAAAAUAUCCCAAUUAACAUUCCCAUUUUAUUCCUUGAACACCUCUAAAACCAUCUCAGAACAAAUGAAGAAACAACAGCACUUUGCAUUGAGAGGCCCUGAAGAUUACAGCAAAUCCUGCAUAUCUGAACAUCAGAAUGAGUAUUUUUAUCUCAUAGUUGGGCACAGGAGUAAUCCAGUCAUUUAUAAAGCACUGAGCACUCAAUAGCACCCUCUGAAAGAGAGGCCAUUGAAUACAUUUGAAGACCAACCCAUUUAUUCUCCUCACAGACUGACUUGGGGACUAAUUCUGGGCUCUCAUUUCCCAAAAACUUUGCCAUACACAAUUUGCCAAGAGCACAAAGCAUCAUCACAUGAUAGAUGUAAACCAUAAGAAAGCCAAGGGACAUGAGUUCUGAAUUCACUGUGAGUUGUAGUUAAUUUUUCCCUGGUCUCCCAGAGUUUAUUGUGAGUCUUAAAUGCUCCACCACUGGCAAUGUGCCACCAGGCACAAAUCACUGCUAUUUUGGAAAGCCUAAGGAUGUAUGCUGGUAACACCACAUCCAAAAGGAAGCCAACACUCGUGUCCUGAAGAUGGACCCAGCACCUGACCAGUCCCAUCCUCUGCAAAUCCACCUGCACUGUGCCAUGAGACCACUGUGUACCCUCAGCCCAAUCUGUAACUUCUUCAAGGAAGAAGGAGUCAAGUCUGUUUUUCAUCUGGGGAAUACAGAAGGAAGCCAGUGGGACCAUCAGGGCCGUGCAACCUUCCCCUGGGAGCAGCAGGCACAGGGAGAGGAGCAGAGCUGCCUUUAGUCCCUCAGCAUAACUAAACCCAGCCUGCAAAUCCACCUCCAGUUUUGGCAGUUCUCCUCUAAAGUGGAAAGGAAAAUAAGCAGAAUAUAAGAAAAUUGUUUAAUUUUGCAGGAACCUCUGCAAAGGAAGAGGAAGAUGGGCCAGUGCUGGCAGCGAUUGCCUUGAAGCAGCCGAGCAGAAGGGCAAACCAGAGAAUAAAGCAUGAAGUGCUGGUGCUCAGGCUUUGUUAGGAGAGCUAAUGCAUCACUCCUCUUGUGUUUGCCACAAGGAGAUACACAGCAUUACACAGCCUACAAUCUGCAUAGACAAGGACUGAACUCUGGUCAACUACUGAUGCCUACCUCUAACCAUACUGGUAGCAGAAUCACUGAUGAUGCCUGAAAGGCUGCUGCUGGUGAACAUUGCCACCAACAGGAUUGUGUGCUGGAGUGUCUUCUCUGGGCCUGCAGGCAUCUCAGUGCACAAUAUGAUGGACAAGUUGGCAUCCUUACUUCUUCAGAUGUUAUCUAUGACACGUGAACAGCAUGUUGUCCCCUUCCUUCUCGUGUCCCUAAUGGAUCUCAGUGCAUUAACAUCACCCCGUGUUAUGCUGACGUACCGGAUGGCGUCAGAGGUUGUGCAGGAAUGGGACUUUGACACGUAGGGAGCAGACAAUAAACAUUCAUGUUGGAGU
rnacentral:lncRNA from 7 species